rnacentral:lncRNA from 1 species
GCGGAGCAGGUGAACGGUGGCAAGUGGGGCUAACAGUGGCGGCUGGUCAGAAGACAGAGAGCCCUAGGUGCGGCGCACCUAGGGUUUUGUUUAUUUUUGUUUUUUUUCUGAUUUGGACUAUUAGGGUUUGGGUAGUUGAGCUUGUAUUUAGGCUGUUUGAGUUUAAUGUAAAUGGACUGUUUAUUAAUUUUUGUUGUGGUUUGGUCUAUUUUGAGUGCAGUCUCGGGCUAAAAUUGGGCCUUAC